AUUGAACGCUGGCGGCAGGCUUAACACAUGCAAGUCGAGCGGGGUGAUGGUGCUUGCACUAUCACUUAGCGGCGGACGGGUGAGUAAUGCUUAGGAAUCUGCCUAUUAGUGGGGGACAACAUCUCGAAAGGGAUGCUAAUACCGCAUACGUCCUACGGGAGAAAGCAGGGGAUCACUUGUGACCUUGCGCUAAUAGAUGAGCCUAAGUCGGAUUAGCUAGUUGAUGGGGUAAAGGCCUACCAAGGCGACGAUCUGUAGCGGGUCUGAGAGGAUGAUCCGCCACACUGGGACUGAGACACGGCCAGACUCCUACGGGAGGCAGCAGUGGGGAAUAUUGGACAAUGGGGGGAACCCUGAUCCAGCCAUGCCGCGUGUGUGAAGAAGGCCUUAUGGUUGUAAAGCACUUUAAGCGAGGAGGAGGCUCUUUUGGUUAACACCCAAGAUGAGUGGACGUUACUCGCAGAAUAAGCACCGGCUAACUCUGUGCCAGCAGCCGCCGUAA
rnacentral:rRNA from 1 species